UGCCCAGCAACUCCUAUCCCUACCUCCACGCGGUACCGGCCGGAAACUAUGAGCAACCUUAGGGAAGAUCGGGUAACCAACCCCGGAGUUGGCUCUAUAUUAAAAAAUAAAUCUGGCCGACAGGGAGGG
rnacentral:ribozyme from 1 species